GGGGCCAUAGCUCAGCUGGGAGAGCACCUGCCUUGCACGCAGGGGGUCGUCGGUUCGAUCCCGACUGGCUCCA
rnacentral:tRNA from 1 species